AUUGAACGCUGGCGGCAGGCCUAACACAUGCAAGUAGAGCGGAGAGGCGGAAGGGUGAGUAAUGCCUAGGAAUCUGCCUGGUAGUGGGGGAUAACGUCCGGAAAAGGGCGCUAAUACCGCAUCCUAUCAGAUGAGCCUAGGUCGGCUGAUCUAGUUGGGGGGGUAAAGGCAUACUAAGGCGACGAUCCGUAACUGGUCUGAGCGGAUGAUCAGUCACACUGGAACGGUGAAACGGUCGAGACUCCUACGGGAUGAAGCAGUGGGGAAUAUUGGACAAUGGGCGAAAGCCUGAGCCAUCCAUGCCGCUUGUAUGAAGAAGGCCUUAGGGUUGUAAAGUACUUUCAGCGGUGAGGCGUUACCCGCAGAAGAAGCACCGGCUAACUCCGUGCCAGCAGCCGCGGUAAUUC
rnacentral:rRNA from 1 species